ACUCAAAGGAAUUGACGGGGACCCGCACAAGCGGUGGAGUAUGUGGCUUAAUUCGAUGCAACGCGAAGAACCUUACCUGGGCUUGACAUGCAUCUCUAAUCCGGUGAAAGCCGGUGACUGUAGCAAUACAGAAUUUGCACAGGUGCUGCAUGGCUGUCGUCAGCUCGUGUCGUGAGAUGUUGGGUUAAGUCCCGCAACGAGCGCAACCCUUGUGAUUUGUUGCCACCGGAGCAAUCCGAGCACUCGAAUCAGACUGCCCAGAUCAACUGGGAGGAAGGUGGGGAUGACGUCAAGUCAGUAUGGCCCUUACGCCCAGGGCUGCACACGUACUACAAUGCCCAGCACAAUGUGAACCGAUACCGCGAGGUGGAGGCAAUCGAUAAAACUGGGCUCAGUUCAGAUUGAAGGCUGCAACUCGCCUUCAUGAAGUUGGAAUCGCUAGUAAUGGUGCAUCAGCUACGGCACCGUGAAUACGUUCCCGGGUCUUGUACACACCGCCCGU
rnacentral:rRNA from 1 species